UAUAGAAAAGUAAUAGAUAUAUGUCGUAUUAUAAACUUGAAUACAAGUUGGACAGUGGCCAGCUUCGAAUAUUUGAGAUUGACCUAUCUUUUAAAAUAUUUUGCUUUUAACUUUUUUUUAGCUUAAUAUGCUUGCUCAUACUUCUUCACAUAUCAAACGAGCUAUCAAAUUGAGCAGGUAGCACGUAUGACUCUUAUUUUAUGUAUCAACUCUUUCCAUCAAAUUAUCGCCAAGUCUCUCCCUUCUCUCUAGAAGUUUCAUAUUGACUCUCUACCAAAGUUUCAGCUUUUGAGCUUUUC
rnacentral:lncRNA from 1 species